UGAUCCAAAGGCCACAGUGUGUUAAAAAAG
rnacentral:piRNA from 1 species